UACGUAGGGGGCAAGCGUUGUCCGGAAUCAUUGGGCGUAAAGCGCGUGUAGGCGGGUCGGUAAGUCCGCUCUGAAAGCCCGGGGCUCAACCCCGGGAGGCGGGUGGAUACUGUCGACCUCGAGUCCGGAAGAGGCGAGUGGAAUUCCUGAUGUAGCGGUGAAAUGCGCAGAUAUCAGGAGGAACACCAAUGGCGAAGGCAGCUCGCUGGGACGGUACUGACGCUGAGACGCGAAAGCGUGGGGAGCAAACAGG
rnacentral:rRNA from 1 species